rnacentral:tRNA from 1 species
GCCCGGGUGGCGGAACUGGUAGACGCGUCGGAUUCAAAAUCCGAUUUUGGAAACAAAGUGCGAGUUCGAGUCUCGCCCCGGGCACCA